rnacentral:rRNA from 1 species
UUGAACGCUGGCGGAAUGCUUUACACAUGCAAGUCGAGCGGCAGCGCGGGGGCAACCCUGGCGGCGAGCGGCGAACGGGUGAGUAAUACAUCGGAACGUGCCCGAUCGUGGGGGAUAACGCAGCGAAAGCUGUGCUAAUACCGCAUACGAUCUACGGAUGAAAGCGGGGGAUCGCAAGACCUCGCGCGGACGGAGCGGCCGAUGGCAGAUUAGGUAGUUGGUGGGAUAAAAGCUUACCAAGCCGACGAUCUGUAGCUGGUCUGAGAGGACGACCAGCCACACUGGGACUGAGACACGGCCCAGACUCCUACGGGAGGCAGCAGUGGGGAAUUUUGGACAAUGGGCGCAAGCCUGAUCCAGCCAUGCCGCGUGAGUGAAGAAGGCCUUCGGGUUGUAAAGCUCUUUCAGACGGAAAGAAAUCGGGCGCGUGAAUAGCGUGCCUGGAUGACGGUACUGUCAGAAGAAGCACCGGCUAACUACGU